rnacentral:rRNA from 1 species
UACGUAGGGCGCAAGCGUUGUCCGGAAUUAUUGGGCGUAAAGAGCUCGUAGGCGGUUUGUCGCGUCUGCUGUGAAAACCUAAGGCUCAACCUUGGGCUUGCAGUGGGUACGGGCAGACUAGAGUGCGGUAGGGGUGACUGGAAUUCCUGGUGUAGCGGUGGAAUGCGCAGAUAUCAGGAGGAACACCGAUGGCGAAGGCAGGUCACUGGGCCGCAAACUGACG